rnacentral:rRNA from 1 species
CAGCAGCCGCGGGAAUACGGAGGGUGCAAGCGUUGUCCGGAUUUAUUGGGUUUAAAGGGUGCGUAGGCGGCUAUUUAAGUCAGCGGUGAAAGACUCCGGCUCAACCGGAGCAGUGCCAUUGAUACUGGAUAGCUUGAGUGUUGGAGGGGUACAUGGAAUUGAUGGUGUAGCGGUGAAAUGCAUAGAUACCAUCAGGAACACCGAUAGCGAAGGCAUUGUACUGGCCAACAACUGACGCUGAGGCACGAAAGCAUGGGGAGCGAACAGGAUUAGAUACCCGAGUAGUCCCUGUCUCUUAUAC